rnacentral:rRNA from 1 species
AUCCAGCCAUGCCGCGUGUGUGAAGAAGGUCUUCGGAUUGUAAAGCACUUUAAGUUGGGAGGAAGGGCAUUAACCUAAUACGUUGGUGUCUUGACGUUACCGACAGAAUAAGCACCGGCUAACUCUGUGCCAGCAGCCGCGGUAAUACAGAGGGUGCAAGCGUUAAUCGGAAUUACUGGGCGUAAAGCGCGCGUAGGUGGUUCGUUAAGUUGAAUGUGAAAUCCCCGGGCUCAACCUGGGAACUGCAUCCAAAACUGGCGAGCUAGAGUAUGGUAGAGGGUGGUGGAAUUUCCUGUGUAGCGGUGAAAUGCGUAGAUAUAGGAAGGAACACCAGUGGCGAAGGCGACCACCUGGACUGAUACUGACACUGAGGUGCGAAAGCGUGGGGAGCAAACAGGAUUAGAUACCCUG